rnacentral:misc_RNA from 1 species
GAUGAAGAACGUAGCGAAAUGCGAUACGUAAUGUGAAUUGCAGAAUUCAGUGAAUCAUCGAAUCUUUGAACGCAUAUUGCGCUCUCUGGUAUUCCGGAGAGCAUGCUUGUUUGAGUAUCAGUAAACACCUCAACUUCCAUAUCUUUUUUGAAAUGGGAGUUGGACUUGAGUGAUCCCAACGCUUUUCCUCACCGAAAAGUGGCGGGUUACUUGAAAUGCAGGUGCAGCUGGACUUUUCUCUGAGCUAUAAGCAUAUCUAUUUAGUCUGCCUAAAAAACAGAUUAUUACCUUUGCUGCAGCUAACAUGAAGGAGAUUAGUUCUUGUGCUGACUGAUGCAGGAUUCACAAAGACAGGCUUCGGCCGACUUUGUAAACUCGAUCUCAAAUCAAGUAAGACUACCCGCUGAACUUAAGCAUAUCAAUAAGCGGAGGA